ensembl:snoRNA
CUCCACAGCUUACUGGUCUGGAACUGUUCAGAACUGUAGCAGUUGCAGGAUUCCCUCUGUGGAAAAUAAACUGUUACAUGGUAUUAGCUCCUUCUCAGAACCUCUGAAAAGGACUUGCUAUGUAACUAACAGUG